GCUGACAUCCGUUGCUCGGAAGUUGGCCUCUAGUUUCUGGAAAGGUCUACGGCUCAGCUUUUGUACCUCCCCGCCCACACCUAUGCUAACGUCCCAGAAGGCACUGCGUCUCGGGCAUCUGCGCCUGUUGUGUUGAUGGUUGCUCUAAGCUUGGGUCUCUCUGACAAGCCCUAGAACCCUCCCUGGUCAUCCUGGAACUCACUGGAGGGCCUUGAACUCACGGACAUCUGCCUGCCUCUACCUCCCAAGUGCUUGGAUCAAAGGCUGCUGCCACAGACACCUUGGAAAGGAAAAGCCGCUUUCGAAGUGAAAACAAUAAUUCCACCCCGCA